rnacentral:lncRNA from 10 species
CCUCAAAGAGCACCCAGCAUAACUGUGGGAGAAUAGUAAGCAUUGGACACAAAAUGGUUUAGGCAAAUAAUGAUGAACAAAAAUGGUCAGUCUGUGUUCCUGCUGACCCAGCACAGUGGGGACGCUGUGUAGGACAUGACCUUUGGGGGAAAGGACACAAGAACUCAGCGUGGGGGAUCCAGAAAAGAAGUCGCACGUAUUGAAGCCAGUAACGCCAAGCCAGUGAAUUCUCCUUGACGAGAAAGACCCACUUACUCUGCAGAAGAGAUAUAUGACAGCUGACAAUCCCUGGAGGAGAAUCUUUCUACUAAAUUGGUAAGGGAUGCUAAGCAAAUGAUGUGGACUCAGGAAACAACGCAUUUCAUGAUAUACGGUUGCCUCUCAAGGUGAAUUCGAGACCCCUCUUGAAUUACAAAGAGUUGAAAACAUUCAAGUACGGAAUAAACUAUUACUGCGAAUACGCUCAUAUGACACAAGAACAAUCUCUGAGCUUCUUUGAGGAUGUCCAGAUGACUGCUGACUGCACUAAUUGCAUCAAUCGUGUAUCCAUACAGGUUCUUUCUAUAAAAUAGUGGUCGCUAGUUAUGAGGCGUUAAGCCUUCAUGGAUAUAAACAGACUAUUCCACCUAAGUGAUCUGGCAGAAGCUUAGUUUUCUACCACAACAUCCACCGUCCUCCCUCCCUCCCUUCCUAGCUGGUCAGAAAAGCUACUCAGAAUAAAGACUACAUUUCCCAGCCAUCUUUGCAGCUAGGUUUAUCCACCUGACUAAAUUCCACCGUAACUCCAGGUUGAAGAACUUCUACUUAUAGGCAUCUAUUCAACGAAGACGAAUCCUGGAAUGGGGAUGGAAAUGAUGGCUCAUGUCUUAGCAAACUACCAGUACGUCUACUAGAACCGGAACUGAUCCGAGAGGACAGGGAAGUCAGUGUGGGCGGCUCUAAGGAGCCUCCCUCUCUACAGCUGCGGCUCAGAGGAUUACGGCGCUUCAUCCACAAGGCAACAUUGCACAAGUAGCUUUUGAACAAAAGUCAUGGAUACUAUUAAUGAUAUGGUAAUCCUUAAUCGAGCUACCUCCCAGUAGUGAUUAUACUGACAUGGGAAGAAUAUCUAAGUCGUGGAGGCAGCCCACAACAACACUGUGUCAUUGUUCACCCCGGGCUCGACCAGGACUAACUUUUACCAGCAUCUCUAACGUCACCUUUCCCCUGAUGCCUCCCCACAACCCCUGGCCCCAGCUCCCAUUCCCGCCCCAUCAUAGCAAAAAAGUAGCAAAGAAAACCCUGAUCCUAAAUCUUUUUCUGGAUUUUUUUUUGCAAGUUCCCACACACAUUUAGUGUCGUCUCAAAAUUCACGCUGUCAACUGUCUCUAGGAAUCAUUUCCAUCUGAGAACAGACCACACAAAGACACAGUGAAACUCAGUUUCUGCAGAAUUUGAUUUCAUUUGAGUUACUGGGGAACAAAGCAAUUAGACAAUGAAUAAUAGCUCAAGACAGGCUGAAGCUGAAGAUUUCUGCAAAAGAAUGAAGAGGAAACGUUUUGAUCCUGAGCAGAUGUUCUCCCUAGAUUGCUUCACCUGAGGUUGAUUGACUUUUGGAAACGAGAUUUGUUCCCAGGUGGGUAAGCCUUGGGGCCAUAGGUUUUUCAGGAUUUUGAAGGUCACAUGGAAUGCGAGGGGGUUAGGGAAAUUUCCCAAGCAUUUAUGGGACCUGGGGGAAUCUCACGUUGAAGAAGGUGGUUACCACACGCAAGCAAGCCCUUUUCCUGUUGCAGGCGGUGGACAGCUCCCGUCUGAGCAUGCAAGUCUGCAGGGAGCUGCAGAUGGCGGAGGGGCGCCCCGAGGCCUCCGGGAGAGCAGCUUGGGGAGCGGCAGCAGGGCACGCCGGGAAAGGCGCGAGGCACUCUGGGAAGGCAACCUAGGAAGGGUGGGGCCCUGGGGCCUUUUGAGGAGCUAAGUGGCCAAGGAGAGGUGCGUUUAGUUAUCUCAGAAGUCCGUUGCCCUCGUGGUGUCCAUUCUGUAACUGUUCUCACAAGACAAGACAGCCUGAGUUGUUUACAGCCAGCAACUCUUCCUGUCUGAGAGCGGUGUCUCCCGUUGGGUUUCCCUAGUGCCUCACCUUGGUCCAGAUGGCCGAAGGGGACCGUUUCCUGUGGCCUCUUCGCACUGUUCUAGGUGUUAACGAUCCCCCCCGCCCCGCCCCUACUGACUUCCUCAUCCUAGCCUUUUACUUCUUUUCUGCCUGGCCUCUGAUUUUACAAUAUACUAUGGGGAGAAAUGUCUCUGAAGUUUUACUUCAGCCUGAAAUGUAUAAGACAAGCCCUCAAGAGUUUCCAAAAUCAUAAAUACGUUGCUUUGUGAGUCUCUUGUUGGAAGGACUGUCUUUAAAUUAAAGCAAUUAGAGUUACUUUAUAAGAUUUACCCAAAUAUAAGAGCUGAAGAGAAUAAUUCAAAUUGAUCAGAAGAAAAUACUCAAUUACUGACAAAUGUCAAUUACAUCAAUAGCCUAGGCUGCUCUUGAACUCCUGGGCUCAAACGAUCCUCCCCUGUCGGCCUCCCAAAGUGCUGGGAUUACAAGCUUGAACCACCAUGCCCAGCCUCAGAAAUUUUUUAAAUGACAGCUCAUACAGUUUUCUUUUAUAAAGGAGGAGAAAAUGUGUAAUUGUAAGCAGCUGAACUAAAAUAUCUCUGUGACAUUUUGCUGGUGACUCCAGCCCUGUGAGAUCUGAGUGGCUCAGGAAUCAAAUUCUCCCACAAACCUGAGGAAGCCUUUUAUUCUUAAUGCCAACAGGAUGCCCCAUGCCCAGAAUGUCAAAUCUGAACACCAAUGGAAUGCAUUUUAUAAACAAAUUGAAAAAGGACAAUCUUUAACAGAAUUGUUGUUCUCUAGGCAGAUUAGUUGUGCUUCAAAUACAAAAUGAAAUAUUAGAGAACAAAAUUAUUUUUAAACAGCUAAUACUAGUAGAAAAUAAAAGGCUGAAAAGUGCU